rnacentral:lncRNA from 1 species
UAUUUUAGGCCUAAUGCUAUUAUUUACUUAAUGAAUAAUAAUGUAAAUAUGUUUUUAGGUAUUUAGAUGCAUUAGCAAAUGAAAAAAUGCUAUAAUUUGCUUUACAGUGAUGGUCUGGAAUGUAACUGUCACAAUAACAAAGUAUGCGUGUACUUUAUCACACUGUUAUACUGUGAUUUUAUCACUUCUCGUGGCCUUAUUGGUGGUUGCAUGAACAUUUUCUUUGAGAACCACUGCUCUAGAUCAUACUUAAAAAUCAAUCCUUCAACACAAAAUCUUUUCUAAUCAAAUCAUUUAUUGCAAUCACUCAUAAAUAUGUGCACUAAGUACUGAAUAUCAGUAAGAACUAAUUUAUUAACUUUAAAUAUUGAAACAUUUUUGGUUAGAAAUAAACCAUCUUCAGCAUCAUGCGCCUUAGAGGUGUAAAUGUUAUCACAAACAGUUAAUCAAAAACAUUUAGAAUAUAAUGCAUGGAAAUGUUGUCAUAAACACUAUAAAUAAUAAAACAUUGUUCCAGUUUAUCUAACAUAUAAUAUAUAUUUCUAUGUAAAUUUGAGUCAAUAUAUUCUGCCAGAAUCUAGAUUAGGGGUAGGCAAACUUUUUUUGUAGGGAAAUUUAUGCAACAGAGAAAUUUAAUGACAGGCUGGACAAAUCUUGCUCGAGGACCGAAAGUUGCCC